AGCAUCAUUAGAUCAAUAGAAAACAUCUCAUAUGGCAAUAAAAAGAAAUAGGACUUCAAAUGUGGAGAGUGAAAGGACAAACUGAAAAAAUAGGCUACGUAUUAGAAAGGGAUAAUUGAUUGUGUUGUUUAAAAGUCGUUUUUAUAUUAUACAUGUAUCAAAAUGACAUGGUGUUCAAAUUUUACUAGCUGGCACGCUAGCAGAUACUCAUUAAACUUGGAUUAUGGACAGAAAACCCAGCAAAACGUUUGAGCUUUGAGGAAAGACUGAUGAAGAAACUCUCUAAGAAAACCCAAAUGGCCAGCAGAGGCCACACGAAAUUAAACGCCAUCUUGGAUGAGUAUUGACGGACUUUUCCAGCCCUUCAGCUCCCUGUGAGACUUUACUAUUGCUACUUUACACACGCCUUACACCGCCUCAUCGACGUGAAUUGUCCAGAAAUUCACGUUUCCUUCGGUGGGCCAAGAAGACGAUAAUAGGACAUAAAUAAAGAAGUGUUAGGAUGCGUUUAUGGACUCAAGUUCGACAGAGUUCUGACAGGAUCACGACUGUUUUAGAGCAACCGGUGGCGUCUAUGGCUGCAGGCUAUUAAACGUGUUGACUACCACUGGACUGACAUUUGUAGCACCCAUUUUAUCAUCAGGUGAGGCAUUAAUGGACUUGGGUAGUCCUGAUUUUGUGCCCUUUGUGUUUUGUAUACACAAAACAAAGCCAGAAACCCGUACUCCUUUUUGGUAGGAAAAGGAGGAGAGAUGACAUGGUAAACACACCGCCAAAUCAACCUGCUCCUUCUGAAACUGCAGAAUAAGAAUGCAGCAUGGAUCAUUGUCCUGAUGGGGCCACCCAAAUGAUCUGCCUCCCCAUGGCCGUCAUCAAUCACCGCCAACCAGAGGGCACAGCAAGCACGCAUGGGAAAGAGAGCGGGGUGGCACACCAAAGCGCCCACAGGGUGUGUGUGUAUGGGCAUGUAUGCACGCAUUUUGUACAAAUGUAUACUCGUAAAUGUUUCUGUGUGGAUGGGAAACAUAUUAUGCGUGCAUGUGUGAAUGUGUUUGUGGGGUGGAAUUUGUGUGUGAUCAAUUAUGUGUAUGGGAGGAGUAUUUUGUGUACACGCAUAUUUGUGUGGCCAUGUGUGCAUAUAGUGCUGUUAAGAUCCAAACAAGAUGUGUAAUUAUAAAUAUCAACCUUUUAAUUGAAGGUUGUAGGUAACAUAAUCUUCCCUUCAAUUAAAUGACAAAUCCAAGCACUAAAUUGUUGGUUAACAUUCAGUCAUUUUUUUGUGACAUUUGUGAUAUUUUGUCAAUGUUGCUUUAUUAUGUAAGUCAGUGGUUCCCAACUGGCCUAGCCUCCGAGUUUUCAUUUCUUCUUGGAUAAUAAGUCUUGUGCAUAGGGUUACUUGACAUAUAUUUUUAUUUUUCAAAAUGAAAACAAAAAUAAAAGGUGAAUUUACUGCUUAAAGCCAUCAAAGUGAAUAGUACUUUUACAACAAUGUGCAGUUAGAGCUAAAAAAAAAAAAACACCCAGUAGCAUUAAAAAAUGUGCUAUGGAAAUUGGAGCUGAUCAGGCUUAUUGCAGCUUCCAAAACAUUUGUUGUAAAAAAAAGAAUAUCUUAACAUCUUAACAGGUCUAAUAAUAACAAGAGAAAUGAGGGUAAAGAGAAGAACAUUUUUUUCCCAAGCAAGGCUGGCUUACAAUAGGUCCAUAUUAGACAAUACACUUUUAUAUGCCUUUUCAAGUCUGAAAGUUUCUUUGGGGGGAAAAACGUACAGCCAAGUUUAAUAUUUUCUCCUCUCCUUCUCUGCUAAUUGGUGUUUUUCAUGGAAGAACCUUUGACAUGUCACAUGAGUAAAAGCACAGAUGUAAAUAAUAAAAUUAAUGAUGACUGAAAUUCA